rnacentral:lncRNA from 1 species
GAUUUAUUCAAAAAUAGCUUUUAGUGCAUUAUAUUUCUGAAACUAUUUACUUCUUUCUAGUACCGCGUCAUUUUAUCCAUUCAAGGCAGCACAAUCCUCUUAACAUAUAGACAUUAUUUUAAAAGGGCACUGUGGCUUCCUGCUGGCAGGUAAUGAGGUGCUGCAAUAUAAUAAAAAAUAAAGAAAAAACAAAACAAAACUCCAGCCAUGCCUGUAGGACGGGUAUGUGUCAUUCACACAGGCACAGAAUUGGAUGCGUGCACCUGUGUACAUCAGCACUCCAAUCGAUGUGGUGCCAGGGACUGAAGAGCUCUCUCUGGGGAAAAUGGGGAAAUGGAUUUAGAAAAUUGGCUGCCGUAAGAAAAAUCUUUACUUAAUUUAUCCUUCCAUUUCAUGGACCACCUGGUAGGACUUUCACAGCCCUGGCUCCCCAGGAGGGUGGAAGUCCAGGGUGUUGGGAAUGGAUUUCCAUUUGUGAUUAAUAUUCCUGACUUUACCUAUGUAGCCUAGGUAUUAAGCAUCAGGACAAUAGUUAAAUUACCCAAGUCACUCUUUUUUUUAAAAUCUUUUUCAUCAUUAUGUAUUCUUUAGCUUCAUCUAGUUUUAUAAAAUAAACAUUAUAAUGUAACUUUCAAAAGAAGGACUUAUACAGUAAUUGAAAUUUUAGAUGACUUACGCUAACAAUGUUUUUAAUACCCUUCAUGCAUGCAUUCAACUUUUCAUGCCUUCUACUUCCAAGUCUUUCCCUUCUAAUAACUGUGCCUCAGUGCUUGUCGCAUAGUAGGUGUCUCUUAAACCGUGUCACAGUGAAGUCAUUUCCCUUCCAGUAUGUGCUGGUUCAUCCACCACAGUUAGGCAUUCCACCUCUUGGUGGCCAGAGAGUCAGCAGUGACUGCCCACAGAACUGACUUGGAGAAGUACUACACACCUGUCUGAGUCUGUGACCUGGCUUGGCUAUGGGCACUACUAUGGGUGACAAUUUCCAGGAGUAAAGACCUUACCCAGAGCUUUCUAAAAAAAAAGUCCUGAAGCUAAAGAUGGCUUUGGGAAAGAUGUGAUCACAAGCAGGGAGAGCCAAAGAAGGGAAAUGAGGCAGGAAUGCUAGGGAGGCUGUGCCCAGCAAACUGGGAGGAUGUCCAGUAGGUAAGGGGGUCCAGAGGGCUUGAACCCUCCACACACUACUGUCCACCCCUCGGAGACAGGCCUAGAAGCCAUGUCCAAAUCAGGUAAUGUGGCACCUUACAAGCCUAAAUUUAAAGGCUGACGUAAGCAAAGGCUCUGAGAGACUCAGGAAUAUAGCACAUGGAUGGGGAGCUGCAGCCCCUUCUGAACAGACAUCUAGAGCAGGGGCAGGGGCAGUGUCUGAGGCCCUGUCCAGACAAAACAGAGAACUUGGGAUCAUAGUGGAAAAGGUUGCUACAUUCAGCUUCACUGAGGAAUUUGUUGUUUAUGUGACCAAAAUGUGCUACAUCACAGAAAACCAGUAAGUGUCAAAUGUAAAUCGUGCAUAUAUAUAUAUAUAUAUAUAGCCAAGAUACAAUUUUCUUACAAAAAUACCUUUAAAAGC